rnacentral:rRNA from 1 species
UACGGUUACCUUGUUACGACUUAGUCCCAGUCACCAGGCUUACCGUCGGCCGCCGCCUCUCUUGCGAGUUGGCUAAACGGACUUCGGGUACUCCCAGCUUCCAUGACUUGACGGGCGGUGUGUACAAGGCUCAGGAACACAUUCACCGCGUCAUGGCUGAUACGCGAUUACUAGCGAUUCCAACUUCAUGGAGUCGAAUUGCAGACUCCAAUCCGAACUGAGGCCGUUUUUUUGCGAUUUGCUCCACCUCGCGGUAUCGCGUCGCUCUGUAACGGCCAUUGUAGCACGUGUGACACCCUGGGCAUAAAGGCCAUGAGGACUUGACGUCGUCCCCACCUUCCUCCGGCUUAACGCCGGCAGUCUCGCUAGAGUUCCCGGCCGAACCGCUGGCAACUAGCGACAGGGGUUUCGCUCGUUAAGGGACUUAACCCAACACUUCACAGCACGAGCUGACGACAGCCAUGCAGCACCUGAACCACGUUUCACCCGAAGGCAGCUUACUCCGCUUUCACAGAGGGCAUCCGUGCUUUUCCAACCCAGGUAAGGUUCUUCGCGUUGCUUCGAAUUAAUCCACAUGCUCCACCGCUUGUGUGAGCCCCCGUCAAUUCCUUUGAGUUUUAGCCUUGCGGCCGUACUCCCCAGGCGGCGC